UCGAGAAUAAUUCACAAUGGGGGCAACCCUGAUGGUGCAACGCCGCGUGGAGGAUGAAGGUCUUCGGAUUGUAAACUCCUGUCAUCCGGGAGCAAGACCUGGCCGUGAAUAGCGGACAGGGUUGAUAGUACCGGAAGAGGAAGGGACGGCUAACUUCGUGCCAGCAGCCGCGGUAAUACGAAGGUCCCGAGCGUUGUUCGGAAUCACUGGGCGUAAAGGGAGCGUAGGCGGCGUGGUAAGUCAGAUGUGAAAUCCCGGGGCUCAACCCCGGAACUGCAUCCGAUACUGCCGUGCUAGAGGAUUGGAGAGGUAGCUGGAAUUCACGGUGUAGCAGUGAAAUGCGUGGAUAUCGUGAGGAACACUCGUGGCGAAAGCGAGCUACUGGACAACUCCUGACGCUGAGGCUCGAAGGCCAGGGUAGCGAAAGGG
rnacentral:rRNA from 1 species